UCUUAAACACUAAACAAAAUUAAC
rnacentral:siRNA from 1 species